rnacentral:tRNA from 1 species
GCACCGCUAGCUCAAUUGGUUAGAGCAGAGGCCUCUUAAGCCUAAGGUUCCCGGUUCAAGUCCGGGGCGGUGUACCA